UAUAGGCCAGAGGUGCAGGGGGUGAGAGGAUUCACCAGAGACAGAGUGGGGAACCAACAGGCAGAUUGACUGAAGUACACUGCUGAGGGGAGCUGAGGGCAAGACAGGAGAUGCUGCACCUCCCCCUGCAGUGACCUUUAGGGCUAAUGGCUUUCGCCAAGGUCCCUAGGUCCAGCUGGGCAAGGAACCAGAGCGCAGGGGAGUACAGCAAAGUUCCCUGAAAACAUAGAUAAGACAGAUGCUUAUCAAAAGAUAACGACCACCAGGAACCACUACAAGAAUGCUAAAAAACCUUAUCUCGUCUUUCUAGAACUACAAACUUUAUUCCCUUAUUGUCUUUCUAAACUUCCUUUUUUCUUCUAUAAAGGUCAUUGGUUGUUAAUUAAAAAAUCAUAUGAAAUCCUUAAACAAGGCUGACUCAAAUGAAACAUUACUAAACCCUGUAAUAAUUUUUAGGUAAAAAAGUAGUUAGUAAAACAAAAAAUGCGAUUAUAUAGUUUAAAAACAAAACUAAUGGUCUAUCUACUUAGGAAUGAGGCUAGGUCCAGAUGUAAAUCACUGCCCUGUCAGUGAUAAGCUAAACCCCUGAGCAAGCUGUUUUCGUUGAUAUUCAUUGUUCCUAUGCUUUUAGAAAACAUAUAUAUACUGGUCACAAACUCAAAGAAAAUUACACUCAGAUUUACACUCUCUCUUGAACUGUGUCUGUUUGUCAUUUCUUUCGCCAACGCCCUGACCACCCUGCACGUUUCUCUCAACCCUGAGACGGCCUCGUCUAUUGCUGUGCUGGUCCGCGGCAAGGAGAGCUUCCUGUUACUGAGGAUGAUGUUUGAUAAAUGGCAAUACUCAGUAAACUAUCAACUCAGUCAGAAGUGCCGGAGGGUGAGAGGAUUCACCAGAGCCAGAGCCGGGAGCAGAGCAGGCAGAAGGACCUAAGUACACUGCUGAGGGGAGCAGCGGGCGGCAG